rnacentral:rRNA from 1 species
CCGUACACAAAAAUGCACAUAUUGUGAGCUCGAUGAGUAGGGCGGGACACGUGGUAUCCUGUCUGAAUAUGGGGGGACCAUCCUCCAAGGCUAAAUACUCCUGACUGACCGAUAGUGAACCAGUACCGUGAGGGAAAGGCGAAAAGAACCCCGGCGAGGGGAGUGAAAAAGAACCUGAAACCGUGUACGUACAAGCAGUGGGAGCACGCUUAGGCGUGUGACUGCGUACCUUUUGUAUAAUGGGUCAGCGACUUAUAUUCUGUAGCAAGGUUAACCGAAUAGGGGAGCCGAAGGGAAACCGAGUCUUAACUGGGCGUUAAGUUGCAGGGUAUAGACCCGAAACCCGGUGAUCUAGCCAUGGGCAGGUUGAAGGUUGGGUAACACUAACUGGAGGACCGAACCGACUAAUGUUGAAAAAUUAGCGGAUGACUUGUGGCUGGGGGUGAAAGGCCAAUCAAACCGGGAGAUAGCUGGUUCUCCCCGAAAGCUAUUUAGGUAGCGCCUCGUGAAUUCAUCUCCGGGGGUAGAGCACUGUUUCGGCAAGGGGGUCAUCCCGACUUACCAACCCGAUGCAAACUGCGAAUACCGGAGAAUGUUAUCACGGGAGACACACGGCGGGUGCUAACGUCCGUCGUGAAGAGGGAAACAACCCAGACCGCCAGCUAAGGUCCCAAAGUCAUGGUUAAGUGGGAAACGAUGUGGGAAGGCCCAGACAGCCAGGAUGUUGGCUUAGAAGCAGCCAUCAUUUAAAGAAAGCGUAAUAGCUCACUGGUCGAGUCGGCCUGCGCGGAAGAUGUAACGGGGCUAAACCAUGCAC